AGCCCGGCAGCACUUCCCGCACAACCACCCUUCUCUUCCGCUUGCGUGCUCUUGCCCUGCCCGCACCUCCCACAUGGUCUUCAUGGCUGCGCCGCCACCUGGCCCGCCUCUGGAAACCGGCACCAGCACGCGACCGGCCAUGGAUCCGCUCGAGGGGUAAACGGAGCAGGACGGCGGUUCUUGCCGGCGCCAAGGAGCGCGAACAGGAGAGCACCCCGGAGACGUAUAAUUCCGUUGGCGCGCCGCCGCAUCUGAGGGUGCCAAGAAGCACGAUCUUGAGGGAAUUGACUGAUGGAACAGCCUGAGUCGGACUCGCAACACGACAUCCAUCGCCACCGGAGCUGACGAUGGCGCCAGUUCAGAGGCCCUGUUCUUGGCGCAUCGUCAUCCUCGGUGUCGGCGCCGGCGGAAGUCAGGCAUGAAGACGUCUCUGUGAUGGCCGGCGGCGAUCAGCUUGCCGGGCUGGGAGACGACCCGCAGCAGAAACAGGCUUGCUUCAGUUGCAGUUUCUCCAAUGCUGAAUGUUUAGUCUCUCCAGACUUCAGAUUGCCUCCACUUUGACGAAGUCGAACCAGCAGUCGUCGCCCAUUACCAGAACGGGCACCUCGCUCCCCUUCUCCCCUUCGGACUGCCGGCCUCCUUCUCCCCUUUGGACCGCCGUUUAAAAUAUGGCUAUUGAAGAUCCAUUUAUACUUCCACAUGGUUUUUAGAAUCUGGAUAAAAUCACUGCAGUAAUGUGAUUCGUUCAGUAGCUGGUGUUUGGCACUUGGAAACAACGGAAUAGAAGUUUUGUUGAUGAGGUAAGGUAAGGAAAAAAUUAUUUGCCCAUUGCUUUCUGUUUGUCUGGUUGUGGUAAUGAUCUAUUUAAGCCCAUUUCCUGUGGUUGUGAAUUGUAUUUACCUGCAUGUCAAAAUAGUAUGAUAAAAUUUGUUUCAGACUUUGAGUGUACUAAAGUUCCGGAUAAUCAGAAGUUUUUAUCACAUCAUGCAACGAUGUAAAACCCAGAAAAAUUCAGACUGUAUGCAUCAUUUGCUGUAAAGCCAUUACACAGCGCCACCCAGGAGGAUCUCAAAUGCUCUUAGAGAAACUUAACAUAAGUAGGUUAACUGGUUUUUCCUUCUCUUUGGUUUGCAUCACUAUGUUUUUAUCCAUGAAGCGUUCAGUACCCUAUAUCUUUACAAGGAAGGAAGCUAGGCCAGUGUGUUUUGUAAUGACAUUUAGUUAUAUAGGCAACCUGCUUGCAUAGUAUAUUCCAACCUCUUUUUAACUUGCCUUCAAUGAACAAACGUGAUGAUACCCAAAUUAGUUUUAGGAUGACACUACUAGGAGAAACCUUUCGAGAUGUACCAUUGAAAAGAUAUCAUGUGCCGUUUUAAUCUAUUAUAUAGUGCAGAAAUACAAAUAUUCAUUCGAGAACAAUGUUUUUGAACUUUUCUGGUACUCUCAAGUGAGGUAUCUUUUGUGGUCUUGCUGAUAUACAUAAACCAUAACCAUAUUUUGUAUGAUUCUUGGCAUCCUUGGAGUGAAAGACAGUGACUGCAUAAUGAAGUUUAAAUCAUAUUUCAUAUGUUUGUUUCGGUUAUAACCUUUUCUUUUAUUUGCUUCUAGGAUCAGUUUGGAAUCAGCCUUCUAGAUAAGAAUAACUGAAAAUUGAUGUAUAAUAUUUGGUGUGUAAUUUUAGUGUGAAAAUGGGCUUAAGUUAUUUGAAUACUAUUGUAUAAAAUGUACUUUUUUUAACCGCCCUUACAAAUGAGGAAAAAAUAUAGUCCCAAGCAUUUUGAA